GAAGAGGCUGCAGGUGGCCCAGCCCCCACCCCGGCCUGCGCUGCCCCUCCCAGGACAGGCCCUCGCCCGCCCCUCCCUGGUCUCCAGCCUGGCUCUGCCUAAGUGACUGCGUGGGAACUCCGAGUCUGCACCCCCAGCACGGGAGAGCUCGGGAAGCCUGGUGUUUUUGCUCCAACACACAGCUACUACCGGGGGCCUGAGCCGGCUGCUCCAGCUGGGCCCCUGCUUCCUAGGGAGCCCCGGGACCUCCGCCGCACUUGGGGCUCCACCCCCAGGUCAGGGAAGGAAACCCGGCACACGGGUCCAGGCAGACCAGGAACACAGACCUGUACAGCUGUGCCCCGGUGAGCACAGAACCCACCCAGCAAGGUCCAGCUCCAGAACCACUCCCAGCGCCCAGAACGCGUACUCACCGAAGCUUUGCACACAGAGUCGGCGUGAAAUCGACUAAAAUUGCUUUUGUUGUAGACAGGCAGGCCUUUCAAAAAAUCUGCCUAGAAGACAGGGAAGAUGGUCCUCCCAUGACGUUUUCCAGAAUGCACCCUUAAGCUGGCUACCUGAGGUGCACACUAUUGGGACCAGAAGAAAGUAGCCCUGGGAUAAGUGAGCGUUCUCUUCUGGGGUCCUCACAACAGCCCUGUAACCAGCUGAGAGGGGGGAGAAUGGAGGCUGAGCAAGGAACAGGGCAGGGAGUCGAACCCGGGCCCAGACCUUCCCUCUGUGCUUGCUGAAUAUUAAACACCUGGUCUCGUUUCCACAUA